rnacentral:lncRNA from 1 species
CCCAGCCCUCUAAAGCUCACAAAUGGAGAACGAUGGACAGUAGAGAGAGACAGACAGAUGCAGCAAACCACUACAUGAAGUUGGUCAGAAGGUUUAGCAGUGCCCAAACUGGUGUGCACAGUUCUUUUUGCUCGUGAAUGAAGGGAGAUUUUUGUGGAGUUACUUUUCUGCAGUGGGGUCCCUCCUAUAAAGCUGAGGCUUGCCUGCAGAAGCAUCACCAGGCCCUCAGCACUGCAGAAGACACGAAUGGAGUCUGUACUCUUCUCACUGCCAGCUUGUGUGGAACAGCUUUGCUUCAUCAAGAUGGCUUUAGGAGCAACCCCAGCACAGUGCCUUUACAAAGAUGAGGUUUGCUGUGGUGUAGUAUAGAACACAGACCCAAACUGGACUGAGCCUGCAAGGAAGCUGCAGCAGAUGAACUGCUCUCUUCAAGGUCCA